rnacentral:rRNA from 1 species
AGCGAACGCUGGCGGCAGGCUUAACACAUGCAAGUCGAGCGGGCGUAGCAAUACGUCAGCGGCAGACGGGUGAGUAACGCGUGGGAACAUACCUUUUGGUUCGGAACAACACAGGGAAACUUGUGCUAAUACCGGAUAAGCCCUUACGGGGAAAGAUUUAUCGCCGAAAGAUUGGCCCGCGUCUGAUUAGCUAGUUGGUGAGGUAAUGGCUCACCAAGGCGACGAUCAGUAGCUGGUCUGAGAGGAUGAUCAGCCACAUUGGGACUGAGACACGG